rnacentral:lncRNA from 1 species
CGGCGUAUCAGCGACCGCCAAGGGCGAGCAACUGGCCGCGAGCGAAAGCAAGCGGCCGCGAGGGGCGCGAGGGCCGCGAGCAGAUGGCCGCUAAGCGAGAUGGUCGCGAGGACAUCAGCGGUGAAGCGAGCGCUCGCAAGGAAAUGAGCGAAAGCAGACGACCGCGAAGACUGGCCGCAAGCGAGUGGCCGCGAAAGAAAUGGCAGCGAGCGAAACUAUGAGCAAGCGACCGAUAAGCAAGUGGCCGCGAGCGAAAGCGAGCGGCCGCGAAGCCAAUUCCCCACGAGCGAAGGCAAGCGACCACACAAGCGAGUGACCGCAGAGGACUGGCCGCGAGCGGAAGCGACUGGCUAUAAGCAAGCGACCGUGAAGAGCUCGGGGCCGCGAGCGAAUGACCGCGAGAGCGGAGAGAUGGCCGCGAUCGAAAACAAGUGGCCGUGAAGAGAUGGCCGCUAGCGAAGGCAUGAGCGACUGGCCGCGAGGGAAUGGCUGCGAGCGAACGGCCACGACGGCAGGGUUCGCUGAUGUACAUCGCCUGGGCUUCGCCAGCGAGUUUCGCCAGACAUUCUCCAACAAGAUUCACUCUGAAGUGAAGGCGAUCUAAGGGCUGCUAAAUGGAUGGAUGCCGAUCCCAGUGGCAGACGUCGAUGUAGCUAAGUCGG